CAACAGAAGCGACCUUCUCUUCUCAACAGGAACCUCCUCUUGUGUAGCACUUGAACAAACUAAAAAUUAAAUUGCUAGAAGAGCACUUUAGAAGAGAGAAAUAAUAGCAGUAGAGAAGGAGAGAAUGAGAGGUUUGGUGUGGUGAGAAUGAGGGAGGAAUGGGCUAUUUAUAGAAGCCCAAGUUUAAAUUUUUUUCCCAAAAUACCCCUCAAUUCAGCCGUUAUAGGACUGUUGGGAGGGGCAAAACCGUCUUUUUCCCGAAAAUAGCCGUUG
rnacentral:lncRNA from 1 species